UACUGGCGUUAGCUGGCUUUACACCUGCUGAAUAAUUGUGUUCUCAACURGCUUCAAGAUCAGGCAUGUGAACUUCAGCCAUUUUGAGAAGAGCUUAACCAGAGCAAAAAAUCCAGUUAAAGAGAGAGCCCUAACAGGCAGCAAGCUGCUGAGUCAUUACACAGCACUCCUUGGAUAGUCUUACACCGACGCAGAAGAUCAAAGUGGUCUGAAUAUCAAGAUUGUUAUUUCCGGAUAUAUCUGAACCAGUGGUUCUCCAAUGGAUGAUUUCUAUACCAACUUCUGGACUAGGUAAUUAAACUAGGCACACUCUUGAUUAUUUUUAGAGGGGCUG
rnacentral:lncRNA from 1 species